rnacentral:rRNA from 1 species
UAUGAAGGGGGGCUAGGCGUUGCUCGGAAUUACUGGGCGUAAAGGGCGCGUAGGCGGCACUGUUAGUCAGGCGUGAAAUUCCUGGGCUCAACCUGGGGACUGCGCUUGAUACGGCAGAGCUAGAGGAUGGAAGAGGCUCGCGGAAUUCCCAGUGUAGAGGUGAAAUUCGUAGAUAUCGGAAGGAACACCAGUGGCGAAAGCGGCUUCCUGGUCCAGCACCGACGUUCAGGCACGAAAGCGUGGGGAGCAAACAGG